rnacentral:rRNA from 1 species
CGUUAGCGGCGGACGGGUGAGUAACACGUGGGUAACCUACCUAUAAGGCUGGGAUAACUUCGGGAAACCGGAGCUAAUACCGGAUAAUAUUUCGAACCGCAUGGUUCGAUAGUGAAAGAUGGUUUUGCUAUCACUUAUAGAUGGACCUGCGCCGUAUUAGCUAGUUGGUAAGGUAACGGCUUACCAAGGCGACGAUACGUAGCCGACCUGAGAGGGUGAUCGGCCACACUGGAACUGAGACACGGUCCAGACUCCUACGGGAGGCAGCAGCU